UGGAACGGGUAUGAGCCCUUCUUGAUGAUGUUCAUCAUCGGAGUCAACAACAACUUGUACAUAU
rnacentral:sRNA from 1 species